rnacentral:rRNA from 1 species
CCUACGGGAGGCAGCAGUAGGGAAUAUUGGUCAAUGGAUGCAAGUCUGAACCAGCCAUGCCGCGUGCAGGAAGAAGGCCUUAUGGGUUGUAAACUGCUUUUGUCAGGGGAUAAAAGAUCCUUGCGAGGAUAAUUGAAGGUACCUGGCGAAUAAGCCACGGCUAACUACGUGCCAGCAGCCGCGGUAAUACGUAGGUGGCGAGCGUUGUCCGGAUUUAUUGGGUUUAAAGGGUGCGUAGGCGGCCUUAUAAGUCAGUGCUGAAAUAUUCCGGCUUAACCGGGAGGGUGGCAUUGAUACUGUAGGGCUUGAGUAAAGUUGAGGUAGGCGGAAUUGACGGUGUAGCGGUGAAAUGCUUAGAUAUCGUCAAGAACACCGAUAGUGAAGACAGCUUACUAAACUUUAACUGACGCUGAGGCACGAAAGUGUGGGGAUCAAACAGG